AUUGAACGCUGGCGGCAGGCCUAACACAUGCAAGUCGAGCGAGUGGCGGACGGGUGAGUAAUGUAUGGGGAACUGCCCGAUAGAGGGGGAUAACUAAUGGAAACGGUGGCUAAUACCGCAUACGAUCGGAUGAACCCAGAUGGGAUUAGCUAGUAGGUGGGGGAAAGGCUCACCUAGGCGACGAUUUCUAGCUGGUCUGAGAGGAUGAUCAGCCACACUGGGACUGAGACACGGCCCCUACUCCUACGGGAGGCAGCAGUGGGGAUUAUUGCACAAUGGGCGCAAGCCUGAUGCAGCCAGGCCGCUUGUAUGAAGAAGGCCUUCGGGUUGUAAAGUACUUUCAGCGGGGAGGCGUUACCCGCAGAAGAAGCACCGGCUAACUCCGUGCCAGCAGCCGCGGUAAUAC
rnacentral:rRNA from 1 species